AAUAACCAAAUAUAAUACUUGGGCAAAAGGGUCAAGUUGAUAAUUUUCCUUACAUCUCCCCCAUUUC
rnacentral:sRNA from 1 species